rnacentral:rRNA from 1 species
GACGAACGCUGGCGGCGUGCCUAAUACAUGCAAGUAGAACGCUGAAGGAGGAGCUUGCUUCUCUGGAUGAGUUGCGAACGGGUGAGUAACGCGUAGGUAACCUGCCUGGUAGCGGGGGAUAACUAUUGGAAACGAUAGCUAAUACCGCAUAAGAGUAGAUGUUGCAUGACAUUUGCUUAAAAGGUGCAAUUGCAUCACUACCAGAUGGACCUGCGUUGUAUUAGCUAGUUGGUGAGGUAACGGCUCACCAAGGCAACGAUACAUAGCGGACCUGGGAAGGUGAGCGGCCACACUGGGACUGAGACACGGCCCAGGCUCCUACGGGAGGCAGCAGUAGGGAAUCUUAAGCAAGGGAAGGAAGUCUGACCGAGCAACGCCGCGGGAGUGAAGAAGGUUUUCGGAUCGUAAAGCUCUGUUGUAAGAGAAGAACGAGUGUGAGAGUGGAAAGUUCACACUGUGACGGUAGCUUACCAGAAAGGGACGGCUAACUACGUG